CAGACGGGUGAGUAACGCGUGGUCAACCUACCGUUGAGUGGGGGAGUAACUAGCCGAAAGGUUAGCUAAUACCGCAUACGUCUCCGAGGGGCAUCCCUUGGCGAUAAAGGAGCAAUCCGCUCGAUGACGGGACCGCGUCCCAUUAGCUAGAUGGUGGGGUAACGGCCUACCAUGGCACCGAUGGGUAGCUGGUUUGAGAGAGCGACCAGCCACACUGGGACUGAGAAACGGCCCAG
rnacentral:rRNA from 1 species